rnacentral:misc_RNA from 1 species
CACAUCACUCCAUGAAUGAUCCUCCACAUCUCCUUCAGCCUUGCCAAUGCUCUGUGGGCUACCAUCUGAGUCGCAGAAUGCCAUUUAUUGAACUGGGCUUUUGGUUCUGACAGUUCUUGCCCCUCAUAUGGAACAAUAAGAUAAGGCAGCAGAGGAAAGCCUGCAUCUCCAAUUAUAUAUUCCCUUAUUUCUGAUCCUUCAGA